ACUGCUCAGAGGACAGGCCCCAGCGGAUUCGAGCCCGGAAGCCGGAGCCGUGUUUCCACGUGGCUGAAGAGAGCUUAUCUUCAUGCAGUGUCCUUGGAUUUUCUGGGGUCACAAACCCUUUUGAACAUCUUUGAGAGUUAUAACGUUGCCUCCAUAAAAAUGUACAUACCUGCCAGAACUUACUAAUAAAAUAAGGCGUCCUGCUGGGGGGCUGUGACCCUUUGAAGAGAAGGCAGUCCCUCUGUGCAUAGGAGUGCUCUUGGCCACCAUGCUUUCCAGCCAAGGGUGCUGCCCAUGGGACUGAAUCGAUGGAAAGACCUUCCAGAGAUUCAUACCCACCGGAUGCCACCCGCAUACAUUCUGCAUUGCUGCGCUUGGGUCUGGGCACAAGGGGGUGGGAGAGCAGACAGUGGGGAAACAUAAAACUAAGCCCCGUCUGUCAGCGUGCACACACACUUAAACAUCUUUUCAUUUUGAGGAACUGACUCGAACCCUGUAUGGAACUGCACGAAAAGCAGCUGGAGGCUGAAGCCGUGACUUGGAGCUGUGGUUCUCAAAGUGUGAUAGCAGGAUUGUUAUCUGCAUUAGCAUCACUGAGGGACUUAGAAAUGCACAAUCUAGGCUCCUGCCCCAGACCUAGUAAAUUAGAAACUCUGGAGCAGAGCCCAGUCAUCUUUUAACAAGCCUUCCGGGGUGAUCGUGAUACUCAGUCAAAUUUGAGAAGCUCAGGCCUAGCCUAGAGCUACAGCAGCUGUCCGCCCCCGCGCCCCCCCCCCCCCGCCCCCCCCGCCACAAUUUCUCUCCAUCCCAUGUUGUCUGUCCUCAGGGGGUUGGUGGUGUGGUCAUUGUUCCCCUCCCCGCGCCCCCUCCGUCCCUUGUAAGAAAAAGCUGUUUGGGUCUUUCCAAGCUAUUGUGGUCACGUGAGCCCUGUUGUCUCAGAGAACCUGGGGAGGGAUAUGGCGUUUCCUUUCCUUGGAGAUGAGCGAUUGCAAAAUGCUUUCUUUCUGCAGGUGAAAAUUAGAUAAUCAGGCUUAGUAAACCUGAUUACAAGCACAGCAGGAUUUACAAAGCUUCACUCUCUCCAGGCACAAAAAAAGCCUCAGGGAAAGAAGCUGAGUGGCUUAUCCCUGAUGAAGGAAGUGACCCCAGACCACUCCGAAUGAAGAAUUGAAAGGGCUUGAAGAUGCAUUGCUGUGCGCCAUCUCAAAGAUAUUGCCACGAAAAAGAGGGUAACACUCAGUCCUCCAGCAGGCUGAACUAAAACGUGCUCGGAUAUUGCCCUGCCCACAAGAAGCUGCUACUGUCCAGAGGAGACAGACAAAAGGACAGAUCGUUGUAAUGCAACAUGUCAUGAGAACCUCCAGAACCACAAAUUAGAACAUGAAGAGAAGCAAGGAAAUGGGCCUUCAGCCUCCUGGGAAAUUACAGUCUGUCAUGCAAGAACCUCCUGCACUCACAGUAUCUCAGAGGAAGGAUUGGGAACAGAUCCUCUUCACACAGUGGUUGAGUGGGAAACUGGAGAAUUUCUCGGAAAAUACUCCCAUCUUCCACCCUCCUUUGCGCCUCCUGCUCUGGUAAAAUGUCAUGCAAGGAAAGGACUGAGUCUUUGUGUUGACUGGCUAAAGUGGUCUCCUGCUAGAAACUGAGGGGAAAAGUGUACAAUUACUUACCAAGAUAUCUUCCUGGGAGCCCACUGGUAUUAUGGUCACCUAACCUUUCUGUAAAUUGCCUUUCAUUCUUUCUCUCAGGGCAAGUAUGAAGUAUAAAGUCGUAAAAACAAAUGCAAAACUUAUUUUUUAGCCUCUACUUGCUUUGAAGAUCUGGAUUUAAAUGAUAGUAAUAAACUCUUUCCCUAUUAAAAACAACAAAAUAGGGGUGCCUGGGUGGCUCAGUUGGUUACACAACUGCCUUCGGCUUGGGUCAUGAUCCCAGGGUCCUGGGAUUGAGUCCCGCAUUGGGCUCCCUGCUCAGCAGGGAGCCUGCUUCUCCCUCUCUCUCUGCUGCUCCCCCUGCUUGUGCUAUCUCUGUCAAAUAAAUAAACAAAAAAUCUUAAACAACAACAAAAUAUUUAAAAUUUUCUGUAUCUUUAUGCUUCCAAUUCUUUAUUUUUUUAAGAUUUUAUUUAUUUAUUUGACAGAGAGAGACACAGCAAGAGAGGGAACACAAGCAGGGGGAGAGGGAGAAGCAGGCUUCCCACUGAGCAGGGAGCCAGAUGCUGGACUCGAUCCCAUGACCUGAGCUGAAGGCAGCCGCUUAACCGACUGAGCCACCCAGGUGGCCCUCCAAUUCUUUUUUUUAAAGAUUUUAUUUAUUUGAGAGAGAGCAUGCGAGAGAGAGCACAAGUGGUGGAGAGGGAGAAGGCAGCUGCCCAUCUAGCAGGGAGCCUGAUGAGGGACUCGAUUCCAGGACCCUGGCAUCAUAACCUGAGCUGAAGGCAGAUGCUUAACCAGCUGAGCCACCCAGGUGCCCUUCUUUAUGCUUCCGGUUCUUUUGAGUUUGAAUUCUCUAUACAAACACAUGAUUGCUUACACCGGUACUUGAGUACCCUGUAAUUCUUAUAUCUCUGGGUUUAGUUGUUACAGAAAAGUGCUGUCCAAUAUGGUAGCCACCAGUUAGUGGCUACUGAGAACUUGAAAUGUGGCUGGUCUGACUUGAGGUGUAUUAUAAGUGUAAAAUACACAGUGGAUCUCAAAGUUUUAGUACAUGUGGUGGACAGAUUCUGAAAUAGCUCCCAAAAAUCCUUGCUUCACAGCUGUGUGGAAUCUCCUCCCCUUUGAAUGUGGGUGGGACCUGUGAUUUGCUUCUAACAGAAUAUGGGAAAAGUGAUGGGAUGUCACUGCUACAGUUAUGUUACAUAGACUGUAACUUCCAUCUUGCUAGCAGACUCUUUCUGUUGACUCCUUUGCUGGCUUGGAUGAAGUAGCACACCCUAUGGAGAGACCCAUUUGGCAGGGAACUAAGGGAAGCCUCAAGCUGGCAGCCAGCCGCAAGAUGAGCCCUAGUCUGGUAGCUCACACAGAACUGAAUCCUGCCAAUAACUAUGAGAGCUUCCCCAUUUGAGCCUCAGAUGAGACCCCAGCCCUGGCUCACACCUGGAUUGCAGCCUCGUGAGAGACCUUGAAGCAGAAGACCCACUAAGUUAUGCCCAGAUUCCUGACCUACAGAAACUAUGAGAUAAUGUGUUCUUGUAAGCUGCUAAGUUUGUAGUAAUUUAUAAUGCUACAAUAGACAACUAAUACAGAACCAAAAAAGAAUGUCCACUAUCUCAUUAAUAAUUGUUCAUUUUAUUUAUUUAUUUUUUAGAGAAAGAGAAAGGAUG